UCACAGAUCAGUUGGUAGCACAUGAGACUCUUAAUCUUGGGGUUGUGGGUUCGAGUCCCACAUUGGGCAAAA